CCUACGGGCGGCAGCAGUGGGGAAUAUUGCACAAUGGGGGAAACCCUGAUGCAGCAACGCCGCGUGAGUGAAGAAGUAUUUCGGUAUGUAAAGCUCUAUCAGCAGGGAAGAUAAUGACGGUACCUGACUAAGAAGCUCCGGCUAAAUACGUGCCAGCAGCCGCGGUAAUACGUAUGGAGCAAGCGUUAUCCGGAUUUACUGGGUGUAAAGGGAGCGUAGACGGAGUGGCAAGUCUGAUGUGAAAACCCGGGGCUCAACCCCGGGACUGCAUUGGAAACUGUCAAUCUAGAGUACCGGAGAGGUAAGCGGAAUUCCUAGUGUAGCGGUGAAAUGCGUAGAUAUUAGGAGGAACACCAGUGGCGAAGGCGGCCUGCUGGACUGUUACUGACACUGAGGCACGAAAGCGUGGGGAGCAAACAGGAUU
rnacentral:rRNA from 1 species